UCCCUCUCUAAAAAAAUUACUGGAAAAGUAGAAAUAGACGACCUCAACAACAGUCCCAAAUACUCUCAUUGCCGAAACUACGCCGUUUCGAUUCACAACCUCGACGACCGCCGCUGCCUCCGUGGCGGCUGCGGGCUGGUGGGUGUCUCUGCAACUGGCCUUUCAGACCAUCGGAAUAGUGUACGGAGAUAUAGGAGCGUCGCCGUUGUAUGUUUUUCCGACAACUUUUGAUCCAUUUAGUUAAGUACGUCUUCAUCGUUUUGCAGGCUAAUGACAAUAGCAAUGGAACGACAAUGGCGAUGUUUUGUCACCUGUUGGAGGCGUUAGGAAGGCUCAAGGUAUGCAAUUAUGCCCAUUUUAAUAUUUAGAAAAGUUUCGGGUCUAUUUGGUAAUUAUUUUA